rnacentral:rRNA from 1 species
GGUGCCAGCAGCCGCGGUAAUUCCAGCUCCAAUAGCGUAUAUUAAAGUUGUUGCAGUUAAAAAGCUCGUAGUUGAACCUUGGGCCUGGCUGGCCGGUCCGCCUCACCGCGUGUACUGGUCCGGCCGGGCCUUUCCUUCUGGGGAGCCGCAUGCCCUUCACUGGGCGUGUCGGGGAACCAGGACUUUUACUUUGAAAAAAUUAGAGUGUUCAAAGCAGGCCUUUGCUCGAAUACAUUAGCAUGGAAUAAUAGAAUAGGACGUGUGGUUCUAUUUUGUUGGUUUCUAGGACCGCCGUAAUGAUUAAUAGGGAUAGUCGGGGGCAUCCGUAUUCAAUUGUCAGAGGUGAAAUUCUUGGAUUUAUUGAAGACGAACUACUGCGAAAGCAUUUGCCAAGGAUGUUUUCAUUAAUCAGUGAACGAAAGUUAGGGGAUCGAAGACGAUCAGAUACCGUCGUAGUCUUAACCAUAAACUAUGCCGACUAGGGAUCGGUGGAUGUUAUCUUUUUGACUCCAUCGGCACCUUACGAGAAAUCAAAGUUUUUGGGUUCUGGGGGGAGUAUGGUCGCAAGGCUGAAACUUAAAGGAAUUGACGGAAGA